rnacentral:sRNA from 1 species
UAUUUUAAUUUCGCUUAUUUUGAAAUCAAAAAAACAUUUUCGACGAUGCCAGUGGUAUGCUCUAGUGAAAGUGACCGAUGAUUAAUAUUGGCCACUUGCCAGCGGAAUUUGUGAUUAUUAUUUAAUGACGACGAGAAGUCGCCGUAAACAUAUAAUAAAACGAAACAAAAAUUCGCCACGCACCAUCGCACAGACCCUGGCUAUACUCUUACAACCAGCCACCAGCGUUUCAGACUCGAUUCUGCGAGGGGAGAGGCUAGAGAGAUGCCCAGAGAUGGCCAACCCGUUGAAAGGUGGGCAGCCUUUUUGGAGGGCGAUGACAGAAGCAGCAGCAGCAGGAAGGAAGGUGGUGCCAAAGAAAAUUGGGCACCUUUCCAUUUGAUCUCCGCUGACAGCCCAGGGGAAGAGGAGAGGAGCUGAUCUGAUGGAUAGUGCCACGGUAUGGCUUUAUUUAAAUUAUUGAAAUGUAAUUGCAUUACUGACAAACGGGGAGGACAGUCCGAGAGACUCCCCUCCCUGGCCGAGCAGAUGCGAUGACUGAUCUUUUUGUUUAGCCAUUCGCCAAAUAUUUCGAUUCUAUUUUCAUAUGCACUCCAAACAACUAAUUAUAAACAAUUUUCGAGUUGUACGAGUGUAUAGGUGAAUACACAAAUUCCUAUACA